CAGCAGCCGCGGGAAUACGAAGGGGGCUAGCGUUGCUCGGAAUUACUGGGCGUAAAGCGUGCGUAGGCGGUUCGUUAAGUCUGUUGUGAAAGCCCCGGGCUCAACCUGGGAAUGGCAAUGGAUACUGGCGAGCUAGAGUGUGUCAGAGGAUGGUGGAAUUCCCGGUGUAGCGGUGAAAUGCGUAGAGAUCGGGAGGAACAUCAGUGGCGAAGGCGGCCAUCUGGGACAACACUGACGCUGAGGCACGAAAGCGUAGGGAGCAAACGGGAUUAGAUACCCGGGUAGUCCCUGUCUCUUAUAC
rnacentral:rRNA from 1 species